rnacentral:rRNA from 1 species
AUUGAACGCUGGCGGCAGGCCUAACACAUGCAAGUCGAACGGUAACAGGAAACAGCUUGCUGUUUCGCUGACGAGUGGCGGACGGGUGAGUAAUGUCUGGGAAACUGCCUGAUGGAGGGGGAUAACUACUGGAAACGGUAGCUAAUACCGCAUAACGUCGCAAGACCAAAGAGGGGGACCUUCGGGCCUCUUGCCAUCGGAUGUGCCCAAAUGGGAUUAGCUAGUAGGUGGGGUAACGGCUCACCUAGGCGACGAUCCCUAGCUGGUCUGAGAGGAUGACCAGCCACACUGGAACUGAGACACGGUCCAGACUCCUACGGGAGGCAGCAGUGGGGAAUAUUGCACAAUGGGCGCAAGCCUGAUGCAGCCAUGCCGCGUGUAUGAAGAAGGCCUUCGGGUUGUAAAGUACUUUCAGCGGGGAGGAAGGGAGUAAAGUUAAUACCUUUACUCAUUGACGUUACCCGCAGAAGAAGCACCGGCUAACUCCGUG